CCGACGGGUGGCAGCAGGGAGGAAUAUUGGGCAAUGGACGAGAGUCGGAACCAGCCAAGUAGCGUGAAGGAUGACUGCCCUAUGGGGUGUAAACUUCUGUUAUAAAGGAAUAAAACGAGGCACGUGUGCCUUUUUGCAUGUACUUUAUGAAUAAGGAUCGGCUAACGCCGUGCCAGCAGCCGCGGUAAUACGGAGGAUCCGAGCGUUAUCCGGAUUUAUUGGGUUUAAAGGGAGCGUAGAUGGGUUGUUAAGUCAGUUGUGAAAGUUUGCGGCUCAACCGUAAAAUUGCAAUUGAUACUGGCAGUCUUGAGUGCAGUUGAGGUAGGCGGAAUUCGUGGUGUAGCGGUGAAAUGCUUAGAUAUCACGAAGAACCCCGAUUGCGAAGGCAGCUUACUAAACUGUGACUGACAUUGAUGCUCGAAAGUGUGGGUAUCAAACAGGAUUAGAUACCCCAGUAGUC
rnacentral:rRNA from 1 species